GUGAACGCUGGCGGUAGGCCUAACACAUGCAAGUCGAACGGCAGCACAGUAAGAGCUUGCUCUUACGGGUGGCGAGUGGCGGACGGGUGAGGAAUACAUCGGAAUCUACUUUUUCGUGGGGGAUAACGUAGGGAAACUUACGCUAAUACCGCAUACGACCUACGGGUGAAAGCAGGGGAUCUUCGGACCUUGCGCGAUUGAAUGAGCCGAUGUCGGAUUAGCUAGUUGGCGGGGUAAAGGCCCACCAAGGCGACGAUCCGUAGCUGGUCUGAGAGGAUGAGCGGCCACACUGGAAGUGAGACACGGUCCAGACUCCUACGGGAGGCAGCAGUGGGGAAUAUUGGACAAUGGGCGGAAGCCUGAUCCAGCCAGACCGCGUGGGUGAAGAAGGCCUUCGGGUUGUAAAGCCCUUUUGUUGGGAAAGAAAAGCAGCAGGUUAAUACCCCGCUGUUCUGACGGUACCCAAAGAAUAAGCACCGGCUAACUUCGUG
rnacentral:rRNA from 1 species